AGUGAACGCUGGCGGUAGGCCUAACACAUGCAAGUCGAACGGCAGCACAGUAAGAGCUUGCUCUUACGGGUGGCGAGUGGCGGACGGGUGAGGAAUACAUCGGAAUCUACUUUUUCGUGGGGGAUAACGUAGGGAAACUUACGCUAAUACCGCAUACGACCUACGGGUGAAAGCAGGGGAUCUUCGGACCUUGCGCGAUUGAAUGAGCCGAUGUCGGAUUAGCUAGUUGGCGGGGUAAAGGCCCACCAAGGCGACGAUCCGUAGCUGGUCUGAGAGGAUGAUCAGCCACACUGGGACUGAGACACGGCCCAGACUCCUACGGGAGGCAGCAGUGGGGAAUCUUCGACCAUGGGCGAAAGCCUGAUCCAGCCAUUCCGCGUGGGUGAAGAAGGCCUUCGGGUUGUAAAGCCCUUUUGUUGGGAAAGAAAAGCAGCAGGUUAAUACCCCGCUGUUCUGACGGUACCCAAAGAAUAAGCACCGGCUAACUUCGUG
rnacentral:rRNA from 1 species